CUCCAGCCUGGGUGAAAGAGCAAAACUCCAUCUCAAAAAAAAAAAAAAAAAAUCACACAGUGACCUUCUGCACUCUUGAAUCAGCUAGGCACAAUGGAGACAGACGUCUACCCCAGAUUUACUGCCAUGCUAAUCACUUAACCCCUCUGAGCUUCAUUUUCUUAUUUACUCACCAAUACAAGGCAUGGAAAACAAACAAGUAUCUGUGGGCCUAUGCUGUGUCACUGAUCUAGGGCAAAAGAUGCACAGGUGAAAUAUCCUUCCUGCCUCUCAAGGCAUGUUCAAUGCUACCAGGAGACAGAUAAGCAGGGAAACAACUUUAAAACAAUAAGCCCUACCUCACAGUAUUGCAAAAUGUAAGAAGUGAAUACAAAUUAAGGCCCCCCCCCAUGAAAUAGAGAGUUAAUGAAGUUCUUUGAUCUUGCUAGCUUAGGGCUGCUCCUAAUUUUAGUGAGUGCUGACAAGGGACUGGAGAACUCCAAGGUCAGGGUUAUUCCAGUGCUACUCCAGGCCUGAGAACCAGUGCUCUGGAGGACCAGUGCUAGGCAGAGACACAGAACAGGGCAAUCCACCCACAUCACACACUCCCAGGUGCAACAAGCCCAGCCCCACUGGAAUUGCAAUGCCCAGGUAACCUAAAAUCUGUCAUUGCAAUGUGAAGAUAACCUCACACCUGGAACUGCAAAUGCACAGAUAACCUAAAACCUUUUCCGAGUCUUUGGUUUCAAACUCCACCCCAACCAAGCGUGUGAUCAGAGCUGCUGACAAGCAGCAAACUGGAGAGAUUUAAAUUUCAUCUCCUUUUAAUUUUCCCACCCACCCCUUGCCAGGAAUGCCUACAUGCAGGGAACAGCCUUUCCCAGAAGGAUGGCCAGAAGGCAGGCAGCAGGAGAGAAACCCCACAGCUUCUGCUGCUGGGGGCGUCAGAAAGACCCAUCCUGCCUUCUCUGAAGAGGAGCCUGAAGGUUCAAUGAGAGCAGCUUGGGUUUGGGCUGUUGGAAUUAUGUGCUAUGUUUUGAAAGGGGGAUAUUGUCUCUGAAACAGCUUGAUGACCACUGAUUUGGUUCCCCCAGCCACUUUACAGAUGAAGAAUGGGGAGUGGCUGGGGAAAUGACAUGUCCAUAGUCAUACAAAUAAUUUGUGAGCAAGUCGGGUCUAGAAUCCAAGGCUUCUGACUCCAACGCUCUCAUCUCCUGUUGGCAAAUAGAUGUGACAACAACAGCAAAACAAAAAAAUGAAUAUGUCGUGGUAGGUCAAGGAUAUUAUUUGUCUGAUCAAAUAUCUUGUUGCUCAGUCUGGGAAAUGGAGCUAGCACUCUCGAGUGGCUUGUCUGAGCAAGGCCAACACAUGAACCAGGAAGACAGCCAACUAGACAUUUCCAGAAUGUACCUUUGCUGGCAAGGGCCAGCCACCCAUGGUAUCAUUUUAAAUUUGUGACUUCAGUUCCACAUAGCCUGAACUUUUUCAUGGUAAUCUAAGGAAUGAGGACCUUCUUGGGAACACAAGUAGAUCCAGAGUUUUAACAGAGAAAAAACAAUCACAUACCUUGGGAAUCCCAACUCUCAUGCUCCGUCAACAGGUCUAUGGGCCAUGCUUGAGCACUCUGCCAUGUGGUACAGAAUGCUGGCUGGCAGGUUCCUGGGGCAGGAUUAUGGGGCUGGAGUAUUGGGGAGCUAGCUCUCUGAGGUCCAGUGGCACAGCAAUUCACACCACAGGGAGUGGGAAGGCGACCUGGGCAUUUGGAAAACAACUCCUUGAGCACGGUACAAGGAUUGGAUGGUUCUGCCACCAGGCGGAGCAGAAGUCAGUGUUGGACAUGCCCGGGAAGCUGGCCAGAGCCCCCAAGCCAUGGAACUCUUACUGUGAACUCCUUCACACAAACAUGGAGGACAAAAGGAGGUGGAUGCUUGGGUCACUCACUGUCAGAUUGGCGAGUUGAGACUGAUGGUAUUCAGGACACACU
rnacentral:lncRNA from 10 species